UCUAGUAUAAGCAUUAUACCGUGAAACUGCGAAUGGCUCAUUAAAUCAGUUAUCGUUUAUUUGAUAGUACCUUACUACUUGGAUAACCGUGGUAAUUCUAGAGCUAAUACAUGCUGAAAACCCCAACUUCGGGAGGGGUGUAUUUAUUAGAUAAAAAACCAACGCCCUUCGGGGCUUCUUGGUGAUUCAUGAUAACUUUACGGAUCGCAUGGCCUUGCGCCGGCGACGGUUCAUUCAAAUUUCUGCCCUAUCAACUUUCGAUGGUAAGGUAUUGGCUUACCAUGGUUUCAACGGGUAACGGGGAAUUAGGGUUCGAUUCCGGAGAGGGAGCCUGAGAAACGGCUACCACAUCCAAGGAAGGCAGCAGGCGCGCAAAUUACCCAAUCCCGACACGGGGAGGUAGUGACAAUAAAUACUGAUACAGGGCUCUUUUGGGUCUUGUAAUUGGAAUGAGUACAAUUUAAACCUCUUAACGAGGAACAAUUGGAGGGCAAGUCUGGUGCCAGCAGCCGCGGUAAUUCCAGCUCCAAUAGCGUAUAUUAAAGUUGUUGCAGUUAAAAAGCUCGUAGUUGAACCUUGGGUCUGGCUGGCAGGUCCGCCUCACCGCGUGUACUUGUCCGGCCGGGCCUUCCUUCUGGAGAACCUCAUGCCCUUCACUGGGCGUGUUGGGGACCAGGACUUUUACUUUGAAAAAAUUAGAGUGUUCAAAGCAGGCCUUUGCUCGAAUACGUUAGCAUGGAAUAAUAGAAUAGGACGUGCGGUCCUAUUUUGUUGGUUUCUAGGACCGCCGUAAUGAUUAAUAGGGACAGUCGGGGGCAUCAGUAUUCAAUUGUCAGAGGUGAAAUUCUUGGAUUUAUUGAAGACUAACUACUGCGAAAGCAUUUGCCAAGGAUGUUUUCAUUAA
rnacentral:rRNA from 1 species